rnacentral:lncRNA from 1 species
CAACUGGGAAGUUCACACUUCGUCAUUUUCAUUGUGUGAACAGCCACAUAUUCAGGUCACCACAUGCAGACAGCCUCGAACUCUGUCAUGGCACCUGGAUGCUGGUGGAGCAUGGCAUGUUGCAUCACAUGCCCUUUCGUUAGAUGAGAAAACGGAGGCACUGCUGGUCCCAGGUCACAGUACAGCAAGGGAGGAACCAACUUGAAUCCCAUCCAGUGGCCCUUCCCAGACCUGAUCCAGCAGGCACUGAGGUCUCACACAAGAAGGAAGCUGCUUUUGGUGGUGAUAUGAGAAGCAGGAACCAGAUGUGAAUAGAUGCAGGCUCCAGGCAGCAGAGCGUCAACCAGAGUGCACCCCUCCCUUGGCUCCAUGAUGCAUCAUCAUCUGUGACCCUAGAAUAUCAUGAUGCCUACAUGUCUCAUUUAUAAAAUCACCCUCAUGACAGUGGGGGGGAAGGAAAGCAAGGCUGGAUACAUGACAGUGACUAUGUAGCAUGUAUGCCUCCCUGAGCCCAGCUUGCCAGGCGGGUGUGAGCAGUACUGGGCUCUGAUGAUCAAGCCCACAGGCCCGGGUCUGGGAGGCAACACAGGAACUAAAUUCCUACUCCCAUCUCUUGGGCUCUAAAUAAAGUCAUUGCCAUAUUGCAGCUGUGGGGCAUCCUAAAUGGACUGGAGCUCCAUCCCUAGUCUAAUUUCAAGGUCUUGAGAGUGGGCAUAAAGAGCAAGACUGGAGUAAGGAGGAGACAAGGCUAGAACUGAUAGGUUAAAGGAGACUCCGAAUGCCAGCUUGCCUAUAAACAUAAUUCCCAAUGGCAGGAGGUGUGGCUUAGUGGUAGAGCUCUGCCUAGCGUGUCCAAGCUCCAGCACCACCCAGGUGACAGAUAUACAAACAAAUCAACUACCACUAUAAAAAGCAAGACCUUACCCAUGUUACUUUUU